GCGCGGAGCGGUGCAUUUCGGGACAUGUAGUUCCCCCGCUGCAUUGUGGGAGUCGUGGUUUGCGUUCCCGCCGGCGCCGGAGCUUCCGCGGCUUGGAGUUACCCAUGAGACCUGACUUGCCAGCUUCUUCCCUCGUGUGUUUGUCUGAUUGGGCCUGCGUCGACCGGGAGUGAAUUCACAGUUGAUCCAGCAUGAACUGGAAGGUUCUUGAACACGUGCCUCUGCUGCUGUAUGUAUUGGCAGCGAAAACGUUAAUUCUCUGUCUGGCAUUCGCCGGAGUCAAAAUAUAUCAAAGGAAAAGACUGGAAGCAAAACAGCAAAAACUGGAGGUAGAAAAGAAGAAGCAAUCAGAGAAGAAAAAUAACUAAACAGAAGUCAAAGAUUGAACGCAGUGAGCAGUUUCCUUAACGAUGGUGUGCUGCUCCAACUUCUUCAUUUAUCAAGGCAUCAUCUCGUGUGGCAUCGUUUCGUGUGUGAAGCCGUGGCGAGGAGGAAAAGAUGAGCUGUGAGAUCAUAAACACUCCUUCUCCCCACGGACGUCAAGGGGCCGGUCCGUGAAGUGGGGUGCGUGGCUUAGCGCUGAGCUCAGAACUGGCCAGGGGUUCGUUCCCCUCCUAGGCCGGCAGCUCAUCAAAGCCUGCAGCCUUGUUUGGAACCAAAGGGAUUUUCGAUGGAAGGGAAAUUGUGAUGCUAAAAAUACAUUGAUGGAUAGAUACGCUUUGAUGGUUUGUUUGUUGAGUGAGUGUCUGAACGCACGUGUCUAUGCUGCGCAUGUCGACUGCCGUUAGUUUAGCAGACGUUUCCUGCUCGUCCCUGAGGUUCUUCUUUUCUGGAUUUUGUACUUUAAAUGUCAGCUUGAGAGGACUCCAGCCGAGAGGAAGGAAAGACUUAAUCACUGAUGUGUCAGAGGAUAAAUUCCCAACCUAUAGCUUUAACUUAAAAUGAUGUGAAUUUUAAUAUGCUUUCAAAAGAAUAGUAUUUUCUUUAGUAAAACAAAAUACCUGUGAAAAA